AAUCGUUCGAGCUAAGCUCCCGAAACUUGAACUCAGAAAGUUUAACGGAAAGAUUUGCGAAUGGCAGGAGUUUUGGGACAGCUUUUCAAGUUCAAUCGAUAACAAUGAGCAAUUGUCUGAUGUCGAUAAAUUUGCGUGUUUACGCGGUCUGUUGGAAGAACCAGCAAAGUCAACAAUCGCUGGGUUUUCUCUGACAGAAGCAAAUUAUAAGUCAGCAGUAGAACUCUUAAAGAAACAAUUUGAUAAAAAGAGCGCAGUCCAGCGAGCACACGUGAACGAACUGAUUCAAUUGUCGCCGGUAUUCAAGGAAAGAGACACGCGAGGACUUCGCCAUUUAUAUGAUAGCUGUGAAGCACAUAACCGCGCGUUGAAAGCACUGGGGGUGAGCGAGGAAUCUUACUCCAGUAUUGUUGUUCCAGUCAUCGUCGAGAAACUACCGGAAUCAUUUCGGUUGACGAUUACCAGAGGAACAGAUUUUCUACAAUGGUCGAUGGAAGAAAUGCUGGAUGCAUUUGUAAAAGAAUUGGAACUGAGAAAAGCACAUAAUGCCGUGGAAACGACUGCAAUAUGGAACGAGAGCAACAGCGUCAGCGAAAGAACCCUUAUACUGCUGCUGCACUCUUGGCGAAUGAGAAACGAAAAAACUGUUGUGCCUUCUGUCUGAAACAACAUGCCCACGAAGACUGUCCAGGAGUAAGGGAUCCAAAAACUCGUAAGACUUUAGCACGUAAGUUUGGUAGAUGUUUAAAUGCUUAGAUAAAGGCCAUAGGGCUAAUAAUUGUAGUGUAUCAACCAAGUGUAAGAAAUGCAAUGGCACACAUCAUGUUGCCCUGUGUGAUAAUGACAACAAAGAAACUAUGCAUGAGGAAAUAAGUAAAGAUAUAACUAAACAAGACCCUAAAAUUAAUGUAUCUAGUCCUACCAAUUUGCAUGUAGGAAUUGGUGGCCUGGUUGCCUUGCAAACUGCGCGCGGGGUUUUAAGGGGAGAAAGGGAGGCUAAGGUCCGGGUACUGUUUGACGCGGGAAGUCAUCGCUCCUUUGUGACUUCGAAAGCAGCUAGUUUCGUUGAUCCCAAGGGUUUAAGACGGGAAUUGUUAGGCAUUAAUACGUUCGGUCAGAAAUGUACCAGAUCCGAACAAAGGGAUGUGGUCGAAUUAAAGCUUAAACCUCUGCAUGGGGAUAAGGUCAUAACUGUAGAAGCUUAUGUAGUACCAGAAAUUUCCAGUAUACAAAAUGCACACAUAGAAUUAGCACGAAAGGAUUACCAACACUUGAAGGGCACAUGGUUUUCUGAUGUUUGUAGCCAGGAAGUUUUAGAAAUAGACGUUCUCAUAGGAGCAGAUUAUCUUUGGCAGUUUCAAACAGGUGUUACCAGGCGAGGUAGACCGGAGGAUCCAGUAGCUGUUGAAACAGAGUUAGGUUGGGUUUUGUCAGGUCCUCUUAGAGCAAGGGACAUAGAAAGGGUUGGAGUAGCCCAGGUAAAUUUUGUAACACAGAUAGGUAAUCAGGAGUGGAACAAUGAUAGUUUAGAGAGUAAUGUGCAAAGGCUUUGGAGUUUGGAAGGGUUAGGCAUAAUUGACGAGGAUAGUGUUCAUGAGGAAUGUUUAGAUGGCGUGACCUUCACAGGCAGUAGAUAUUCCGUGAAACUGCCCUGGAAGGAAGGCCAUGACAAGCUUUCAGACAAUUACGGGAAUAGUCUAGCGAGAAUGAAGAGCCAGUUAAGGCGAUUGAAGAAGGAACCUGAAUUGUUGAAAGAAUAUGAUUCAAUAAUUAGAGAGCAAGUAGAAAAGGGAAUCAUAGAGCAGGUAUCGAGUCUAGAGAAGGCAGACAAGGUGCAUUACUUACCACACCAAGCGGUCAUUCGCAAGGAUGCUGUGACCACAAAACUACGUAUUGUCUAUGAUGCAUCCUCAAAGGAGUCAAAAUCAGGAACAUCGCUUAAUGACUGUUUACAUGUUGGACCAUCUCUCAAUCCAUUGCUGUAUAGUAUAUUAAUAAGGUUUAGAGAAAAAAGAGUAGCGUUAGUAGGCGAUAUUGAGAAAGCAUUCCUGAAUGUGGAAGUAGAUAGAGCAGAUAGAGAUAGCUUAAGGUUCCUCUGGGUGAAGAAUGUUGAGAAUGAAGACCAGGAGAUACUAGUUUAUCGUUUUUGCCGAGUAGUUUUUGGGUUAAAUUCAUCACCAUUCCUGCUCAAUGCUACUUUGAGACACCAUGUCUCUACAUAUGUUGAAGAAGAUCCAGAGUUUGUACAAAAAAUGCUUGAUGGGUUUUAUGUGGAUGAUCUAGUCAGUGGUGAGGGUAGUACAGGAAAGGCAUUAGAGUUGUACAGUAAGACAAAGCGUAGGAUGGCACAGGGAGGUUUCAACAUGCGAAAGUGGUUAACAAAUAGUAGAAUGUUGAAAGAUAAGAUUGAUUUAGAAGAGAAGACCAUGGACAGGAAGAGCGAUAGAAUAGAUGAGAAUGAAUCAUAUGCAAAAUUAUCUCUAGGAAUGAAGGGAACUGAAUCAAAAUGCCAUAAGGUUUUAGGUCAAGUAUGGGAUAACAAUAAGGAUGAGUUAAAGUUUGAGGUUGCAAAGACAGGUGAAAAAGCAAGAACUCUAUCACCUACGAAAAGAAAUCUGUUAAGUGUUUUAGCUAGUCUUUUUGAUCCUAUCGGGAUAGUGAGCCCUAUAAUUGUUUAUGCCAAAAUCUUGUUUCAAGAAGUAUGCAAGGCAAAAAUUGAUUGGGAUGAGGUGUUCACUGGAGAAAUACUUAGGAAAUGGGAAGUCUGGUAUAAGGAUUUAAUAGAAGUAAAUGAAAUAAUUACUCCUCGUUGCAUAUAUAAUAACCCAGAGGAGGAGAUCUUAGAGUGUACCUUGCAUAGAUUUGGUGAUGCAAGUCAGAAAUCAUAUUGUGCCGUGAUCUAUUUUGUUUACCAAACAAGUGUAGGAGUGUAUGUGCGUCUACUAACCUCUAAAGCAAGAGUAGCGCCUUUAAAACCGACAAGCAUACCCAGAUUAGAAUUGAUGUCAGCAAGACUUCUUGCCCAGCUCAUGAACUCAGUUAAAGGGGCACUUGGAACCCAAGUUAAGAUAGAUUUUACCUGUUUCUGGCUUGAUAACAUUACUGCCCUUUACUGGAUAAGGAAUAGAGGGGA